AGAGCGGGACGGGUGAUCGCCGCCUUGGCUCCGAGAGGGGCCUCGGGGGAGGAAAGUCCGAGCUCCGUAGGGCAGGAUGCCGGAUAACGUCCGGUGGGGGUGACCCCAUGGAGAGUGCCACAGAGAGCAGACCGCCAGACGUCCACGGCCUGUUAGGGGUCGUGGGGGUCGGUAAGGGUGAAAGGGUGCGGUAAGAGCGCACCGGGGCUCUGGUAACAGGGCUCGCAUGGUAAACCCCAUCCGGAGCAAGACCGAACAGGGACGACCGUGGCGACACGGUCAGGGUGGCCCGCCCCAGUUCCCGGGUAGUGUCGCUUGAGCCGCCUGGCAACAGGCGGCCUAGAUGAAUGAUCACCGCGCGCGGCGGGUAACCAAGGCGCGGACAGGACUCGGCUUACAGUCCCGACUCCGACG
rnacentral:RNase_P_RNA from 1 species